GGAUAGCUCAGUCAGCAGAGCACAAAACUCUUAAUCUCAGGGUUGUGGGUUUGAGUCCCGCAUUGAACA